rnacentral:rRNA from 1 species
CAUGAACGCUAUCAAUGUACUUAAGACACUGUAAAUUCGACUCUAAUAAAUUUAAUGAAAUUUGUGAGAUACGAGUAAAUAUACCUUGGAAUCUGCCCAUUAAUUUGAGUGAUGAAAUCGUAACUGAUUAUCAAAAAACUAGAAUAAAGAAAAAUUAAUUUGUUAAUGGAUGAGCCGAGGCUAGAAUAGUUACAAGUAGGAUAAAGGCCUACUUUGACCAUGAUCUAAAGCUAGUAUUGGCGUACGGUUAGCUACGCCGGGACUGAGAAGGACCCGGACCAAGGGGGCUGUAGUCGGGAAUCUUGGGUAAUGGGUGUAAGCCUGACCCAGUGACAUUGAAAAAGUGCUAACGGGUUUUUAGCCUUAUAAAACUUUUUUCUUAUAGUAGGGAUAAUGACAAAUACUAUAAAAGAAGUACCGGUUAAUUAUGUGCCAGCAGCCGCAGUAAGAC